rnacentral:lncRNA from 10 species
AAAAAAAAAAAAAAUUUAUAUUCUGAAGCCUACAGAAACCAUUAAGAGAACAAAAUGAAGAGUUAUUACUACUAAUAAGACAAAAAAAGAUGAAAUAGGACUAUAAGGUACUCAGUAAUUCUAAAUAAAGGAGGCAACAAAGGAGAGAUGGGAGAAAUGGAAAAGAAAUAGCAAGACGAUAAAUCUAACCUGACCAUACCAAUCAUUGUGUUGCAUGUGAGUGGUCUGCAUACCCUAAUUAAAAGGCAUAAAUUAGCAGACUGGGUAGAAAGAUAAGACUUAAUUAUGUGCUGGCUACAAUGUAAACUCACUUAUAUGUAAAGGCCACUAAGGCUAACGUAAAAGGAUGGAAAGAGUCCUACUAUGUUACACUUACCUAUAGAAAUUUGGAAAGGCUAUAUUAUAUCAGAGAAAGUAUAUUUAAGAGCAAAAAAUUCUAGCAGGGGUAAAAAUGCCACUUAAUAAUGAUACAGAGGUCAAUUCAUCAACAGAAAAUUAUAGUUCGAGCAUUUAUGCACCUAAUAUCAGGGAUUCAAAAUACAUGAAAUAAAGACUGAGAGAAUAGGAAUGUGAAUAGUCACCAAAAGUGGAAAACAAACAGGCACUAGCACUUAGAAAAGUCACAGUUAGAUUUAUUCUUAGCCAAGUUUGAGGACUUAAGCCCAGGAACACAGAUUCAGUAUAGACUGAGACUAUGUCCCAAAGUAGGCUGCAUGAGGCACUGUAUAUAUACAUUUUCUAACAGGGCACAGUAAGUUUUUUUAAACUUUAAUUUGGUUCUGGAUAUUUAAUAAUAUAUUAAUAGCCAUUAUAUGAUCUGCUCCAUGUUUUCCCCUAGAAAGUAAAUUUGAAAACUUGGUAUAGAUAUCAAUAUAUAAAACUCUAGUAACGCUAUCAGAUUUGGUAUAGAUAUCAAUAUAUGAAACCCUAGUAACUCUAUCUUAUUCUAAGGUCUAUCUUUUCUAAAUAUAUUCCCAUAGCAAAGUAACCACAUAAUCACACAUUUACAACUAAACACUCAUGUAAGUUAAAGGGGUAUUUUUCCCCUGGAAGUCAUAAUGAUAUAUUGCAUUAGGCAAUUACAGAUUUGAAGAACGGAUAGUGCCCCAUUCAGAGUGGUUACUUAGGACAUUAUAAUGGGAGUGUCACAUUUAUCAUGGCAUAUAGGAGACACGAUGCUUAAAUACAAUGGAAAGGCCAUUAAUGUAGAAAGGUUUUAAAACUGUCAUCAGAUCCAUUAGAGUUGAUACCAGUAUUUUACAUAAAAAUUGCCUGCUGUGAGGAUAAAGGUAUCUGAGAUCAGAUCAUUUGAAGAAAAUCAAAUAAGAUACUUGAUUGCUAGAUGACAUGGCUGUUAAAAGAACAGACACAAAUAUAUAUGAAUAGAAGCUUAAUGCAUUGAAGACAGAAAUGUCAAGAGAAAAACUUCCUUAAAAGUAGGCUGAUUCUUUGGUUAGAAGCCAAAAUAAAAUGGAGAUUCUCUUUUCCAGAAUAGUCUUGGGGAUAAUACUUUUUUGUCUAUAAUAAAAGAAUAUUCAUCAACAUAUUCAUACACUAUGGGCUCAGUCAAGUAAUCCAAUCAAGUACAUCAUCAAAGUGAUCUCUGGUGUCUUCUUUCUUAAAUCUUAACGUGGAAAAAAAUGCCACUAAAAAGUUGUUUAAACUUUUAGUAUCUCCGUGCUUCAAAAUCAAUAUUAGGUUUUUCUUUCUAUAUUCUGACAUUGACUAAGGUGUGUACUUGGAUAAAGACCCAAUAUAAACAGAUUAGUGCACCGUGCUCUUCAAUUUUUAGUAAUGAGGAGGUUAUCAGAAGGACUUCUGUCUAAUACAAAAGCACACACAACUAGUCUCAGUCUGAAAGUCAUCAGCUUUUUGAAGUUCUGAAAUAAGUCUUAUCUUCGGGGUUAUAUUCAGUGUUAGUGGAAUUGUUAGGCAACUACUUUUCUUAUGCUUACAAAAUAAUUGACAUUUUAUAAGAUGGCAACUGAAAGAAGAAGAAAAGUUCUGCCUAAUGGGUUAACAUGAUAGGAUUUUAAUGCAUUUAUGGCAGGACUGUGAUCCAAUCUGAGUAGUUCUUGAGUCAUCCUCCCACCUACUUGACAUUUUAUUCAGACAUCCUCUGCGUUUCGCAUUACUAACCAAAAUGAAGGCAAAAUCCUAUGAGGAGCUCAAGGAUCCUCACUUAAAGAGCUAGAAUCUAAAUGCCCAACACAUGAAAAUGAAAAUAUAAUGAAAUUGGAAAGGAGUGUGCCAAGAAAGCAUUCCUGCCUAGAAAAGCAAUGUAGCUGGGUUUUAACAAGGUCUAAUAAUGGUCCAAGUUAUGCCUUCUUGUCCCUGUGCCUUCCACUCAAUUAAGAAUGCUGGCAGUACACAGGGUGGCUCACAAGUGCUCCCCUCAAUUUGCGGUAACAAAGUGCUGGCACCCCCUGUGCCCUUCACCAAUCCGGUGGUCAUUUAUGGUAUAUGUGUAGAUUUACACUUAAUCACACUUGUCUGUAUUUAACCAACAGAGUAAUCAUAUGAAGAUAUUUCUCAGAGGCAUUCAAGCCACUUAGCAUAUCAAAAUAUUCAUCACUUGAGGGAAAAGAUCCUAUGUCAUUCUUUCUUUUUUCUGCUUUACUGCAUUUUCAGAGUAUUUCAAAUGAGCUGCAUUUAUUCUAAAAGAGGAAAAGUUAAAGGAAACUUUAAAAUAGGGUGCAUCCCAAAUCAGAGUAAACUCCUUUUAGAUUAAUAAAGACAUAAAACAAGUAAAGUCGCUCAUCAAAGAGAAAUUUCUAAACAGACGUCAUACGUCUUUUCUAAGACUAUCUGUGUGCAUCCUGACGCAAAAUAGGAAGAGGAAUGACCUACCGUCUGACUAAUUGCUACAGUCUUCCAAAAAUAUCUCCAGUUUAGGUCAUUGUUUCCUAAUUUAUUAUUUUAUGGAAAUCAAAUCUUUUACUUCAUAUUCCUUUGAAAGAAGGAGGAAACCUAGAUUUCAGUUUGUAACAGUUUUUGCUGCAGACUGUUUUGCUUUUGUGGUCAUUCUUGGGUACAGUCUCAUGAGCCAGCUGGUAUUAGUAUGAGAUAGUGCACACUAAUGAGACGGCAGAAUCCUCUUGAUAGGUUUAGCCUGUGAUAACCUUCGUCUUAAUUCUGUUUUGUGGUCUGGAAACUAUUUUGAACAUAUGCUACUUUGGGAAUUUUACUCUCUCCAAACCAUUUUCAAUUCGGCAUUUUAUAUUAGAAAAUUGCUAUGGGUCAUUUAUUAAUAAAUCUUCUUAGGAUUACACAAUUCUUAGGCUCAUGUGGUCAUUAAUGGUACCAAAUAAAUCAUGAUCCAUCCUUAGUUCGAUUAUGAUGGUGAAAUAAGAUGUAACUUUUGUUCUAUUUUAAAGUUAAGUUCAUAAUAGGAAUAGUUUGAUUUUGCACACACAGAUUGCGUGUGUGUGUGUGUGUAUUUGUGUGUUGUGGAAUAAUGGGUAACAUAAUUAUAUCCAUUUAUUUUGUUUUAACUAUCUUUAUUCUCUUACUAUUAUACUUUAAUGCCCAUUUAAGCUAUCAUUUCUAGCUAGUCAGUUGGUAUUAAAAUCUCAAAUGAUGCAUACUUCAAUUAGGAGUGAAGAUUCCUUUGAUUUGUUCAUUAAAAAUACUUUUAAAAAGGUAACAAAAAUACAAACUUCCUGUCUUUUACAUUUUGGUAAAUUUUUCAUUAGCUUGU